AAGAUUAUACUUUCAGGGAUCAUUCACUUUAGUUUCUGGCUUGAGGAAUGUGUUUCUAACAAGUGUGGUCUCGCUACCCAUGAUGAUGAGGGAAGGUGUUUUCUUCAGAGCAGGAGACCAGUGAGGAAACCUGAUGUUUCCAUUCCUGUUGAUGAUUGUUCAGUGUUGGUUCAUCUGAUACUGAUGAAGGAAACAUGUUCUGAGUGGA